AUCAUCAAGUAUCUCAUUUCCAGUGUAGAAAUUAUAUAUACUCUGAAAAAAGAAACACAUAAUGUUCUUAUGCUGUGUACUUAAAAUUGAUUUCUUACAUCAAUGCGUUGGUAUAUUGAAUGAAGAUUUAAUUCCUACUCGAAUGUCAUAUACUAUACUAAAAACAAAAUUUGAAGAAAAAAUACGAUGAAUUCGUUCAGUUUCUGAUGCGUUAAAGUUAGUAUCCACUGUGAACACCUCUUGCAAGUAAAUGAAAACAAACUAUUCUACAUCUCCUUUGCAAGUGUCGAAUCAAAUUGUGUACGAGUAUUCGGACUUGUGAUAUCAUUUGCCAUUUAUGUUGCAAUGGCUAACUGAGUUGGUCUGAUGAUUAAGAUAAGGGCUUGCGUUGGCGGACGACUCUAUCAAGUUCGUCGCAAAGAUGUUCCAUUGGGUUUGAAUCCGGGGACUUUGAUGGCCAUGUCAAGACAUGACAAUUAAGAAAUCCUUGGUUAAGCUUGAUAUAUGGGACAGGGAAUUGUUCUGCUAAAGCAGCAAUUUCUUUCUGUAAUUAAGAUCGAACAUGUAUGACUACAAACUUUCGUUUCUUCAACGUUGAGCCGUCAAAUUUCCUUGGACUUGGACUAAGUUUCUUCUGCAGUUGUAUGAUACUGUUGCCACAUCAUGAUGAUUCAAACGCCAAAUGUGUUGACUUUCUGCAUGUAGGCAUGAGCGAAAUGCGCGGAUUCGUUCAUCGCAUCUUUUGGAGAAGAAAACGAGCCUUAUCGCUUACCGAAAUUCGAUGCCAGUUCCUCAUAGUUCAGACCCCAAUGUAUGAACUAGCGAACACAUUUGUGUAUCUGAGUCGAAAUUUGUAGAACAUUUUUAAGAUCGUUUUGGACGAAUUCUGCGAUACCGAAGCCUUUUAAGGACUAUAUGGGCGUUAAUUCUUCGUAAAACUAGGAAACCAGUAGCAGUGUUAGUUUAUGUUAAUAUAACUGAUAAAUUUAACUUUAGUGUGAGAUUUAUAAGUACGCCUAAAGUCCGGUCAAGACUGGUACAUUAAAUGCGUUGCAUAAGUGAAGGACGAGUGUCAAUAUGUUUUUUGCACGUUCAAGAAACCUGAGAACAAUUUUUAAGGAGCCGUAGGGGGCAGUUAAUGAGCCAAAAUUAUAUAUAUAUCCAACAUACUCAUAUUGUGCAACGACAGUCCAAAUUGUCUGCGUUUAUCCCGGUCCUUACACUUUCCAGAGCCUACCUAUCAAUGAUCUUGCUAAUAUACAUGAAUCCUUUGCAACUAGCUAGACGUACAAACAAACACCAAUCUUAUGCAUUGUGAUGACCAUUGUUCGCCAUUUGAAUACAAUUCAUUUCAGCUUCAUUAAUAAGAUUAUGUGAUAAAGUUCCUAUUUUCUUUUCUGAUAAGACAUGCAGACAGGUACGUAAGCCAAGACACAGAGGCAUUUUCUUUUCUGAUAACACAUGCAGACAGGUAAGUAAGCCAUAAAACAGGGGAAUUUUCUUUUCUGAAAAGACAUGCAGACAGGUAAGUAAGCCAUAAAACAGGGGAAUUUUCUUUUCUGAAAAGACAUGCAGCUAGGUAAGUAAGCCAUAAAACAGAGGAUUUUUUUUUCUGAUAAGACAUGCAGACAGGUAAGUAAGCCAUAAAAUAGAGGAAGUUUCUUUUCUGAUAAGACAUGCAGACAGGUAAGUAAGCCAUAAAAUAGAGGAAGUUUCUUUUCUGAUAAGACAUGCAGACCGGUGAGUAAGCCAUAAAACAGGGGAAUUUUCUUUUCUGAUAAGACAUGCAGACCGGUAAGUAAGCCAUGCAAUUUUCUUUUCUCUUGUUUAAAGCUGAACUUUAUUUUCAAAGAGUUUAUUAUUAAAACAUAUGCGACACAUUGGGUAAUGAUUAGUAUACAUGAAAAUGUAAUUAUUAUAGAUUCACUUAUUCAUGAAUACAUACAUAAUAACAAUUGGCAUCAGCUAUAGUUCUAUAAUACAAAAAAAAACAUUAAGAUACAUAUAAAAAAUAUAGGGAUAUUAAUCAAGGAGACAGCUACCAAA